UUUAAAACCUCUAAGAGGGAAAACACUACCGUUAUUUACAGACCCAGAGGUAGCAGCACCUGAUCUACUGAAACAAGCUGUCCAGAAAAUGACAACAUUUAACAAGGACAUGCACGAAGGACCUUAUGUCCUUUUGUAUCCAGACUGCUCAGAGGUGGUUCAUGUGCCUGGGUCAGAAAGGCCAUUCAAAUUGGCAGAAUAUAAAAAGGAAAUAGGAAAGGCAUAUUCCAGGAUCACUUUUUUCAUUUGCCUAGAAAAACACUAUAAAAGAGUGGAUGAUACCUCAGACUCUGAUUCUGAAAUUGUCAUCACAACAAGGAGCACAGCUGAACUCAAUCGUGCUGACACUUUGGUUUUUGAACCACAAAAUCGAAGUACUCCCAAACACAAGCUGGACGAUGAAAGGUAGGUGUUGCACACUUGGACACAAAGGAAUUUUCACACGUGCAAUAAUAAUUCAUAUUUUGUUGGGCUACAGUGCUUUCACUACCAGGUAAAGUGCAAUUUCACCUUUUUUUUUAUUUAACUCACAAAACUGAUAAAACUACUAGCAGAUAUUUCACUACUUAUUCACAUAC